rnacentral:rRNA from 1 species
CCAGUAGGGAAUUCUUGGGCAAUGGGGGCAACCCUGACCGAGCAACGCCGCGUGAGUGAAGAAGGUUUUCGGAUCGUAAAGCUCUGUUGUAAGAGAAGAACUGUGAGAAGAGUGGAAAGUUUCUCACUUGACGGUAUCUUACCAGAAAGGGACGGCUAACUACGUGCCAGCAGCCGCGGUAAUACGUAGGUCCCGAGCGUUGUCCGGAUUUAUUGGGCGUAAAGCGAGCGCAGGCGGUUUGAUAAGUCUGAAGUAAAAGGCUGUGGCUUAACCAUAGUACGCUUUGGAAACUGUCAAACUUGAGUGCAGAAGGGGAGAGUGGAAUUCCAUGUGUAGCGGUGAAAUGCGUAGAUAUAUGGAGGAACACCGGUGGCGAAAGCGGCUCUCUGGUCUGUAACUGACGCUGAGGCUCGAAAGCGUGAGGAGCGAACAGGAUUAGAUACCCUGGUAGUCCACGCCGUAAACGAUGAGUGCUAGGUGUUGGGUCCUUUCCGGGACUCAGUGCCGCAGCUAACGCAUUAAGCACUCCGCCUGGCGAGUACGACCGCAAGGUUGAAACUCAGAGGAAUUGACGGGUGCCCGCACAAGCGGUGGAGCAUGUGGUUUAAUUCGAAGCAACGCGAAGAACCUUACCAGGUCUUGACAUCUCUCUGACCGUCCUAGAGAUAGGGUUUCUCUUCGGAGCAUAGGUGACAGGUGGUGCAUGGUUGUCGUCAGCUCGUGUCGUGAGAUGUUGGGUUAAGUCCCGCAACGAGCGCAACCCCUAUUGUUAGUUGCCAUCAUUUAAUUGGGCACUCUAGCGAGACUGCCGGUAAUAAACCGGAAGAAAGGGGGGGAUGACGUCAAAUCAUCAUGCCCCUUAUGACCUGGGCUACACACGUGCUACAAUGGCUGGUACAACGAGUCGCAAGUCGGUGACGGCAAGCUAAUCUCUUAAAGCCAGUCUCAGUUCGGAUUGUAGGCUGCAACUCGCCUACAUGAAGUCGGAAUCGCUAGUAAUCGCGGAUCAGCACGCCGCGGUGAAUACGUUCCCGGGCCUUGUACACACCGCCCGUCACACCACGAGAGUUUGUAACACCCGAAGUCGGUGAGGUAACCUUUUAGGAGCCAGCCGCCUAAGGUGGAAGAA